GAUGAACGCUGGUGGCGUGCCUAAUACAUGCAAGUCGAGCGAAUGGAUUAAGAGCUUGCUCUUAUGAAGUUAGCGGCGGACGGGUGAGUAACACGUGGGUAACCUGCCCAUAAGACUGGGAUAACUCCGGGAAACCGGGGCUAAUACCGGAUAACAUUUUGAACCGCAUGGUUCGAAAUUGAAAGGCGGCUUCGGCUGUCACUUAUGGAUGGACCCGCGUCGCAUUAGCUAGUUGUGAGGUAACGGCUCACCAAGGCAACGAUGCGUAGCCGACCUGAGAGGGUGAUCGGCCACACUGGGACUGAGACACGGCCCAGACUCCUACGGGAGGCAGCAGUAGGGAAUCUUCCGCAAUGGACGAAAGUCUGACGGAGCAACGCCGCGUGAGUGAUGAAGGCUUUCGGGUCGUAAAACUCUGUUGUUAGGGAAGAACAAGUGCUAGUUGAAUAAGCUGGCACCUUGACGGUACCUAACCAGAAAGCCACGGCUAACUACGUGCCAGCAGCCGCGGUAA
rnacentral:rRNA from 1 species